AUAAUAUGAUGAGUAAAUAACUUCAGGUCCGUGUUUCUGAUACACAUGAUAACAAUGAAGUUUCUGAUAUU